GGAAGCCCGGUGUGGAGAGUGACCUGGAGGGAGAGACCAUGAGUCCUGGAGCUACUGAAGGAGGCCACCUCCCCCCACAACUCCCCCUCCCAGGCAUGCCACCAGGUUCCAGAUGUUAGCAUGAUGCCAACCAGAAUUCUCUGGACAGACGACCCACCAAGGUGUCCUGAAGCUCCGAUUGCUCAGAACCCCGCCCUACUAUGGAGAAAGAGAGGCAGGUUGGGAGUAUGGAUUGACUUGUCAACGUCCAUGUUCAGUGGAGAAGUAAUUACUGAAGCCAGACCUUCAACCUUCUGCAUCCCACAAUGACCUUGGGGCCACACUUCCAUAGGGUUAAAGAGUAGGAAAAGCUAUCAAGAGAGAAGAUGGGACAUGGAGUUCUGGUGGUGGGAAUUGUGUGGAGCUGUACCCCUCUUAUCCUAUGGUUUUGUCAGUGUUUCCUUUUUAUAUAAAAUAAAAACAUUAAAAUAAAAAAGAAAUACAAUACCAUACUAGA